rnacentral:rRNA from 1 species
GGAUGAACGCUGACAGACUGCUUACCACAUGCAAGUCAUUGGCGAAGCUGCGCUUGCGCCGUCUAGCCAAGGCGGACGGGUGAGUAACGCGUAAGGAACUUGCCCUGCAGACAGGGAUAACAGACGGAAACGACUGAUAACACCUGGUAUUGUCAGGCUGGCGCAUGCCGGCCUGAUGAAAGGAGACGCUGCAGGAGAGCCUUGCGUCCUAUUAGCUAGUUGGUGGGGUAACGGCCCACCAAGGCGAUGAUAGGUAGCCGGCCUGAGAGGGUGAACGGCCACAAGGGGACUGAGAUACGGCCCUUACUCCUACGGGAGGCAGCAGUGGGGAAUAUUGGACAAUGGGGGCAACCCUGAUCCAGCAAUUCUGUGUGCACGAAGAAGGUUUUCGGAUUGUAAAGUGCUUUCAGCAGGGAAGAAGAAAGUGACGGUACCUGCAGAAGAAGCGACGGCUAAAUACGUG